CGGUAAUUACCAAGAGGGUUCUUUGGCGUCUUGACUUGGGCUUCAUGCUGAGCUCCUCAUUAUUACGUUAUAACUCACCAGUUAGAACUUGCUCCUCAAUCCCUCUCCAACCACAGGAUUUUUUUUUUUCUGGUCCCACAGCCGAGUUUAUUAUAUUUGUUCUCUUCUUUUAUAAAAUUAUAAAUUUCUAAAGCCAGGCCCGAAUGGUAGCUUGAGUCCCUCCAUUUCUGUAAACUGAGAGGUCUCCACCUGGCUUGAUGAUACAGACACAGGGUGUGGGGAGGAGGAGAGGGGUUAUGGUGCCUGAGGAAGGAGGCAGAGGGAGGAGGGAGCGCCACCAUGAACCACAGUCCCUGGGCUACAAUUCAUAGUAAGAAGGCUCAGGUUGUAGGGAGAGGUCAAGGCUCAGUGAGGUUCUGGGGUGACCAGGGGUUUCCCUUGGGUAGGUGGCAGCCGCCAAGAUGCUCUCGAGUCGGUUUAGAGGCCAGGGCCCUUCCCAGCCGUCUGUCCUGUGGCCUAGCCGACACUCUCUUCGUCUCACUUGGUGCUCUGGGUCACUGUGACAGAGGCCCCAGGCCUUUCCUACAUGGCCUGGCCAUUAGGGGAGGACGAGGACACCAGUGGGGGAGUCAGAGGAGAGGUGAUUCGGGAGGCCACAGUCUUGCAGCCAUUGGAGGAGAAGAGCUGCUCAUCCUCAGGGAAGAAGGUGGUGCUGUCCAGCACAGCCUGGACAACCUCAUCCCUUGGCUCCAGGCCCAGCUGGGCCAGCUCUUUGAGCACACAUUGCCGGACAUGGUGCCGCUGGAGCAGGCAGGCACCACUGAGUCUAGGAGACGCUCUUCCAUGAUCCCCGCGCGCGAGAAGCCACGGAGCGGACUGCCCAGCACCGCGCGGGUGCUGACCGGCUCCAGCUCCUGCAGGAGGAUGUCCUCGCGGUCCGGGCGGCUGCGCCAUGCCUCCAGUGCCACCCAUCUUGCUGAUGAAGAUGAAGAUGGCUUUGCGAUAGAGGUCCUGUAUACAACCCUGGAGGAGCUCAGGACAGGCCGCAGGACUUCCAUCAGGCCUGGGGGCAUCUGUCCAUCUCGCCGAAGAGGAAG
rnacentral:lncRNA from 13 species